rfam:Parcubacteria bacterium GW2011_GWA2_46_9 TX68_C0032, whole genome shotgun sequence.
GGGUCCGUAGCUCAAUGGUAGAGCAAGAGCCUUUUAAGCUCGAGGUUCUGGGUUCGAGUCCCAGCGGACCCA